rnacentral:rRNA from 1 species
GUACCUUUUGUAUAAUGGGUCAGCGACUUAUAUUCUGUAGCAAGGUUAACCGAAUAGGGGAGCCGAAGGGAAACCGAGUCUUAACUGGGCGUUAAGUUGCAGGGUAUAGACCCGAAACCCGGUGAUCUAGCCAUGGGCAGGUUGAAGGUUGGGUAACACUAACUGGAGGACCGAACCGACUAAUGUUGAAAAAUUAGCGGAUGACUUGUGGCUGGGGGUGAAAGGCCAAUCAAACCGGGAGAUAGCUGGUUCUCCCCGAAAGCUAUUUAGGUAGCGCCUCGUGAAUUCAUCUCCGGGGGUAGAGCACUGUUUCGGCAAGGGGGUCAUCCCGACUUACCAACCCGAUGCAAACUGCGAAUACCGGAGAAUGUUAUCACGGGAGACACACGGCGGGUGCUAACGUCCGUCGUGAAGAGGGAAACAACCCAGACCGCCAGCUAAGGUCCCAAAGUCAUGGUUAAGUGGGAAACGAUGUGGGAAGGCCCAGACAGCCAGGAUGUUGGCUUAGAAGCAGCCAUCAUUUAAAGAAAGCGUAAUAGCUCACUGGUCGAGUCGGCCUGCGCGGAAGAUGUAACGGGGCUAAACCAUGCACCGAAGCUGCGGCAGCGACGCUGAUGCGUUGUUGGGUAGGGGAGCGUUCUGUAAGCCUGUGAAGGUGUGCUGUGAGGCAUGCUGGAGGUAUCAGAAGUGCGAAUGCUGACAUAAGUAACGAUAAAGCGGGUGAAAAGCCCGCUCGCCGGAAGACCAAGGGUUCCUGUCCAACGUUAAUCGGGGCAGGGUGAGUCGAC